rnacentral:rRNA from 1 species
UACGUAGGCAGCGAGCGUUGUUCGGAGUUACUGGGCGUAAAGGGUGUGUAGGCGGUUUUCUAAGUUUGGUGUGAAAUCUCCCGGCUUAACCGGGAGGGUGCGCCGAAAACUGGGAGACUAGAGUGCGGGAUGGGAGAGUAGAAUUCCUGGUGUAGCGGUGAAAUGCGUAGAUAUCAGGAGGAAUACCGGUGGUGUAGACGGCUCUCUGGACCGCAACUGACGCUGAGGAGCGAAAGCGUGGGGAGCAAACAGG